GGAAAAGGGCUGAAGCUUGGAAUUUACAGCGAUGCAGGUUCUCAAACCUGCAGCAUGCGAAUGCCUGGGUCGCUUGGAUACGAAGAAAAGGAUGCAAAAACAUUUGCUUCUUGGGAUGUCGACUACUUGAAGUAUGAUAACUGUAACAACCACGGUGAAAGACCACAGGAGAGGUAUACUAAAAUGGGCAAAGCUCUACAAAACUCCGGGAGGAGUAUAUUUUUCUCUUUAUGUGAAUGGGGGCAAAAUGAUCCAGCAACAUGGGCAACCGGAGUUGGGAAUAGUUGGAGGACCACGGGUGAUAUCAAAGAUAAUUGGGCCAGUAUGACAUCUUGUGCCGACCUGAACGAUCAAUGGGCAUCCUAUGCACAUCCUGGAGGAUGGAAUGACCCGGAUAUGCUUGAAGUAGGAAAUGGUGGGAUGACGACCGCAGAAUAUCGCUCCCACUUCAGCAUAUGGGCAUUAGCCAAGGCUCCUUUGAUUAUUGGUUGUGAUCUCCGCUCGAUGAGCAGAGAGACAAAAGAAAUUUUGAGCAACGCAGAGGUCAUUGCAGUUAAUCAAG
rnacentral:misc_RNA from 1 species